ACCUACGGGGGGCAGCAGUGGGGAAUAUUGCACAAUGGGGGAAACCCUGAUGCAGCGACGCCGCGUGAGUGAAGAAGUAAUUCGUUAUGUAAAGCUCUAUCAGCAGGGAAGAAAAUGACGGUACCUGAGGAGGAAGCCACGGCUAACUACGUGCCAGCAGCCGCGGUAAUACGGAGGAUGCGAGCGUUAUCCGGAUUUAUUGGGUUUAAAGGGUGCGUAGGCGGAAUGCCAAGUCAGCGGUAAAAUCGCGGGGCUCAACCUCGCUCCGCCGUUGAAACUGGCGUUCUUGAGUGGGCGAGAAGUAU
rnacentral:rRNA from 1 species